AUAGUAUUACAGUGAUAUAAAAGAUUGGUGGGUUUUUUUUUCCCUCUCACUGAUCAUCAGUGUGUAUAGUACACAGUAGAUGCAAAGUAUUAGUUGUUUAAUCCGUAUGACACUGUUAAUGGGGUCAAAACUGUAAAAACACACAUGCUUUUAAUCCUUUUAUCAACUAUGGUGAUCUAUGAUAGCCGUCCGAUCAGUGAAGAGCUGAUCGAACGCUUAAUUGACUCAAGGUCCCUUUCCUUCUAAUCUCUGAGACUCGAGCUGAACCACAAAACCAGAUCUAGUUUUUCUUCCCCUCUGUCUCUCUCUUUCUCCCCUUUAGAGUUCAAACCUGAACAAGAUCUAGUUUUUUCUUCCCUCACUUUAGUUCGAUUUCUGAUCUCUCUCCUCUCUAGUAUUUUCUCUUCUGGGUGACUGCUUGCGUGUCUGAACUCGGCGAGACACGCGAAUGGUUGCGGACUAUCUUCUCUCAACCCAGGAUGUUAUAAACAGAGAGAGAUAGGUUGUCCCUCACAUCACAGAUGCUAUCCAAGACUGGAUUAAGUGUGUAGCACAUAUACCAGUUGAUGGAAAGUCAGGCCCUGCUGAGCACCAGUAUUGGUCAUUUGGUCUUGGCCUUAAUCUUUGGGGCAGCCUUGAUUGCUUAAAAGCAGUUUGCUUCAAGAGGGUCUGCUACUGUGCCUAUCUAUCACAUUCAAAGGGCAAAACACUUCCUUUUAUUACUGUUGAAGAAGGUUGAUUUUCAAAUUUGAGCCUUCAAUGUUUGUAUGACUGAGCAUAGCAAAGUUGCUAGUGGUAAAGUUGCAGCCAUGGAGAGGAACAUGAAGAAAUUUAUGUUUUCUGAUGUAUUUUAAUUGAAAUUGCAUACGAUCUGUACAGUAAAUUUUACAAUUUUAUGGUUAUAGGUGUGCCAAAUUGUUAUU